GUCGUGCGCCUGGCAUGGUGGGUGAGGAGGGAGCCGGGCAGAGGGCCUGGAGGGCAGAGAGCAUCCCAGGAGGCCAUGUUCUUUGGAGGGAUUGGGGGCACAGCAGAGAAAUGCAAGAUUUCACUGGUCACCACGCUGCAACCAGGAGCAGAUCUCGGAGAGAGAAAAGUAAGCCCAAAUGGCCUCGCACAGGGUUAGAGACCAGGACCAGUACAGGACCCUCCAGGACACUGACAGGACCUGGCAUGCAGGCUGGGACCGCUGUCCAAUGAAGCUGCCAGGGUUCAAGCCCAAAGCCUCUCCCAGAGACAGAAGUGACCCAGGAGCCAGGGCAGGAGUCCGCAGAUGCUGUUGUGCGCCUGGCGGGAGCCGUGGGUGAGCCCAGCAGGGAGGGCUGGCAGCAGACUCUCACUGGCAGCCACUUGGGCCUCUGGCUCCAGGAAGAGAUGGGUUUUUGAGUCUUCAGAUUAAAGGGCUUUACUCCCAGGGGCUGCGGAGGCUGGACAGAGGGGCUAAGUGGUGGGGACCCAGUAGAUCUGUGACAAAGUGUCAGCCUGUGCU
rnacentral:lncRNA from 1 species